GAGUUUGAUCCUGGCUCAGGAUGAACGCUGGCGGCGUGCCUAAUACAUGCAAGUCGAGCGAACGGACGAGGAGCUUGCUUCUCUGAUGUUAGCGGCGGACGGGUGAGUAACACGUGGAUAACCUACCUAUAAGACUGGGAUAACUUCGGGAAACCGGAGCUAAUACCGGAUAAUAUUUUGAACCGCAUGGUUCAAAAGUGAAAGACGGUCUUGCUGUCACUUAUAGAUGGAUCCGCGCUGCAUUAGCUAGUUGGUAAGGUAACGGCUUACCAAGGCAACGAUGCAUAGCCGACCUGAGAGGGUGAUCGGCCACACUGGAACUGAGACACGGUCCAGACUCCUACGGGAGGCAGCAGUAGGGAAUCUUCCGCAAUGGGCGAAAGCCUGACGGAGCAACGCCGCGUGAGUGAUGAAGGUCUUCGGAUCGUAAAACUCUGUUAUUAGGGAAGAACAUAUGUGUAAGUAACUGUGCACAUCUUGACGGUACCUAAUCAGAAAGCCACGGCUAACUACGUGCCAGCAGCCGCGGUAAUACGUAGGUGGCAAGCGUUAUCCGGAAUUAUUGGGCGUAAAGCGCGCGUAGGCGGUUUUUUAAGUCUGAUGUGAAAGCCCACGGCUCAACCGUGGAGGGUCAUUGGAAACUGGAAAACUUGAGUGCAGAAGAGGAAAGUGGAAUUCCAUGUGUAGCGGUGAAAUGCGCAGAGAUAUGGAGGAACACCAGUGGCGAAGGCGACUUUCUGGUCUGUAACUGACGCUGAUGUGCGAAAGCGUGGGGAUCAAACAGGAUUAGAUACCCUGGUAGUCCACGCCGUAAACGAUGAGUGCUAAGUGUUAGGGGGUUUCCGCCCCUUAGUGCUGCAGCUAACGCAUUAAGCACUCCGCCUGGGGAGUACGACCGCAAGGUUGAAACUCAAAGGAAUUGACGGGGACCCGCACAAGCGGUGGAGCAUGUGGUUUAAUUCGAAGCAACGCGAAGAACCUUACCAAAUCUUGACAUCCUUUGACAACUCUAGAGAUAGAGCCUUCCCCUUCGGGGGACAAAGUGACAGGUGGUGCAUGGUUGUCGUCAGCUCGUGUCGUGAGAUGUUGGGUUAAGUCCCGCAACGAGCGCAACCCUUAAGCUUAGUUGCCAUCAUUAAGUUGGGCACUCUAAGUUGACUGCCGGUGACAAACCGGAGGAAGGUGGGGAUGACGUCAAAUCAUCAUGCCCCUUAUGAUUUGGGCUACACACGUGCUACAAUGGACAAUACAAAGGGCAGCGAAACCGCGAGGUCAAGCAAAUCCCAUAAAGUUGUUCUCAGUUCGGAUUGUAGUCUGCAACUCGACUACAUGAAGCUGGAAUCGCUAGUAAUCGUAGAUCAGCAUGCUACGGUGAAUACGUUCCCGGGUCUUGUACACACCGCCCGUCACACCACGAGAGUUUGUAACACCCGAAGCCGGUGGAGUAACCUUUUAGGAGCUAGCCGUCGAAGGUGGGACAAAUGAUUGGGGUGAAGUCGUAACAAGGUAGCCGUAUCGGAAGGUGCGGCUGGAUCACC
rnacentral:rRNA from 1 species